rnacentral:rRNA from 1 species
AUAUUCCUGUACCGAUGUGUAGUGCGAUGUGGGGACGGAUCUUAAUAGGUCAUCCGGGUGUUGGAUAUCCCGGUUUAGGCAGAUGUAGGCGACAGGUAGGCAAAUCCGCCUGUCAUAUACCGAGGCUGCCGAUCGAGCGAGCUUGCUCGCGAAGUGAUUGAACGAGGUUCCAGGAAAAGCCACUAAGCUUCAGCUACACACGACCGUACCGCAAACCGACACUGGUGCGCGAGAUGAGUAUUCUAAGGCGCUUGAGAGAACUCGGGAGAAGGAACUCGGCAAAUUGACACCGUAACUUCGGAAGAAGGUGUGCCCUAUUAGUGUGAAGUGAACAACGGAGCAUGAAUGGGUUGCAAAAAAUCGGUGGCUGCGACUGUUUAUUAAAAACACAGCACUCUGCAAACACGAAAGUGGACGUAUAGGGUGUGACGCCUGCCCGGUGCUGGAAGAUUAAAUGAUGGGGUGCAAGCUCUUGAUUGAAGUCCCAGUAAACGGCGGCCGUAACAAUAACGGUCCUAAGGUAGCGAAAUUCCUUGUCGGGUAAGUUCCGACCUGCACGAAUGGCGUAACGAUGGCUACACUGUCUCCUCCCGAGACUCAGCGAAGUUGAAAUGUUUGUGAUGAUGCAAUCUCCCCGCGGAAAGACGGAAAGACCCCAUUAACCUUUACUGUAGCUUUGUAUUGGACUUUGAACAGAUCUGUGUAGGAUAGGUGGGAGGCUUUGGAGCAGGGUCGCUAGAUCUUGUGGAGCCAACGUUGAAAUACCACCCUGGUGUGUUUGAGGUUCUAACCUAGGUCCAUUAUCUGGAUCGGGGACAGUGCAUGGUAGGCAGUUUGACUGGGGCGGUCUCCUCCCAAAGCGUAACGGAGGAGUUCGAAGGUACGCUAGUUACGGUCGGACAUCGUGACGAUAGUGCAAUGGCAUAAGCGUGCUUAACUGCGAGACUGACAAGUCGAGCAGAUGCGAAAGCAGGACAUAGUGAUCCGGUGGUUCUGUAUGGAAGGGCCAUCGCUCAACGGAUAAAAGGUACUCUGGGGAUAACAGGCUGAUACCGCCCAAGAGUUCAUAUCGACGGCGGUGUUUGGCACCUCGAUGUCGGCUCAUCUCAUCCUGGGGCUGUAGCCGGUCCCAAGGGUAUGGCUGUUCGCCAUUUAAAGAGGUACGUGAGCUGGGUUUAAAACGUCGUGAGACAGUUUGGUCCCUAUCUUCCGUGGGCGCUGCAGAUUUGAGGAAGCCUGCUCCUAGUACGAGAGGACCGGAGUGGACGCACCUCUGGUGUAUCGGUUGUCACGCCAGUGGCAUUGCCGAGUAGCUAUGUGCGGAAGAGAUAACCGCUGAAAGCAUCUAAGCGGGAAACUCGUUCCAAGAUGAGAUCUGCCGGGGCCUUGAGCCCCCUAAAGAGUCGUUCAAGACCAGGACGUUGAUAGGUCGGGUGUGGAAGCGCAGUAAUGCGUUAAGCUAACCGAUACUAAUUGCUCGUGCGGCUUGACCCU